CGGGAAGACGGAAAGACAGGUGGUGCAUGGUUGUCGUCAGCUCGUGUCGUGAGAUGUUGGGUUAAGUCCCACAACGAGCGCAACCCUUGUCCUUAUUUGCCAGCCUGUUUAUAGGCGUACUUUAAGGAGACUGCCGUAGAUAAUACGGAGGAAGGUGGGGAUGACGUCAAAUCCUCAUGCCCCUUACGUCCCGGGCUACACACGUGCUACAAUGGUCUGUACAGAGGGUUGCUAAGAAGCAAUUCGGAGCCAAUCCCAAAAAGCAGGCCCCAGUUCGGAUUGGAGGCUGCAACUCGCCUCUAUGAAGUCGGAAUCGCUAGUAAUCGCGGAUCAGCACGCCGCGGUGAAUCCGUUCCCGGGCCUUGUACACACCGCCCGUCACACCACGAAAGUUGGCGGUACCUGAAGUUACUGUACCAACCCUUAGGGGAGGAAGGUACCGAGGGUAUGGUUAGCGAUUGGGGUG
rnacentral:rRNA from 1 species